UUACGGCCAUAUCACAUUGAAACACCAGUUCCCGUAUGAUCACCGAAGUUAAGCAACGUUGAGCUUGAUCAGUACCUAGAUGGGUGACCGCUUGGGAAUACCAGGC
rnacentral:rRNA from 1 species